rnacentral:rRNA from 1 species
AGAGUUUGAUCCUGGCUCAGGAUGAACGCUGGCGGCGUGCUUAACACAUGCAAGUCGAACGAUGAAGCCUUUCGGGGUGGAUUAGUGGCGAACGGGUGAGUAACACGUGGGCAAUCUGCCCUUCACUCUGGGACAAGCCCUGGAAACGGGGUCUAAUACCGGAUAACACUCCUGCCUGCAUGGGCGGGGGUUAAAAGCUCCGGCGGUGAAGGAUGAGCCCGCGGCCUAUCAGCUUGUUGGUGGGGUAAUGGCCUACCAAGGCGACGACGGGUAGCCGGCCUGAGAGGGCGACCGGCCACACUGGGACUGAGACACGGCCCAGACUCCUACGGGAGGCAGCAGUGGGGAAUAUUGCACAAUGGGCGAAAGCCUGAUGCAGCGACGCCGCGUGAGGGAUGACGGCCUUCGGGUUGUAAACCUCUUUCAGCAGGGAAGAAGCGAAAGUGACGGUACCUGCAGAAGAAGCGCCGGCUAACUACGUGCCAGCAGCCGCGGUAAUACGUAGGGCGCAAGCGUUGUCCGGAAUUAUUGGGCGUAAAGAGCUCGUAGGCGGCUUGUCACGUCGGAUGUGAAAGCCCGGGGCUUAACCCCGGGUCUGCAUUCGAUACGGGCUAGCUAGAGUGUGGUAGGGGAGAUCGGAAUUCCUGGUGUAGCGGUGAAAUGCGCAGAUAUCAGGAGGAACACCGGUGGCGAAGGCGGAUCUCUGGGCCAUUACUGACGCUGAGGAGCGAAAGCGUGGGGAGCGAACAGGAUUAGAUACCCUGGUAGUCCACGCCGUAAACGUUGGGAACUAGGUGUUGGCGACAUUCCACGUCGUCGGUGCCGCAGCUAACGCAUUAAGUUCCCCGCCUGGGGAGUACGGCCGCAAGGCUAAAACUCAAAGGAAUUGACGG